UGCCAGCAGCCGCGGUAAGACGGAGGGUGCUAGCGUUGUUCGGAAUUACUGGGCGUAAAGCGCGCGUAGGCGGCUUAAUCAGUCAGGCGUGAAAGCCCCGGGCUUAACCUGGGAACUGCGUUUGAUACUGUUAGGCUGGAGUACGAGAGAGGAAAGUGGAAUUCCUAGUGUAGAGGUGAAAUUCGUAGAUAUUAGGAGGAACACCAGAGGCGAAGGCGGCUUUCUGGCUCGUAACUGACGCUGAGGCGCGAAAGCGUGGGGAGCAAACAGGAUUAGAUA
rnacentral:rRNA from 1 species